rnacentral:rRNA from 1 species
AUUGAACGCUGGCGGCAGGCCUAACACAUGCAAGUCGAGCGGCAGCGGAAAGUAGCUUGCUACUUUGCCGGCGAGCGGCGGACGGGUGAGUAAUGUCUGGGAAACUGCCUGAUGGAGAGGGAUAACUACUGGAAACGGUAGCUAAUACCGCAUAACGUCGCAAGACCAAAGAGGGGGACCUUCGGGCCUCUUGCCAUCAGAUGUGCCCAGAUGGGAUUAGCUAGUAGGUGGGGUAACGGCUCACCUAGGCGAUGAUCCCUAGCUGGUCUGAGAGGAUGACCAGCCACACUGGAACUGAGACACGGUCCAGACUCCUACGGGAGGCAGCAGUGGGGAAUAUUGCACAAUGGGCGCAAGCCUGAUGCAGCCAUGCCGCGUGUAUGAAGAAGGCCUUCGGGUUGUAAAGUACUUUCAGCGGGGAGGAAGGUGCUGAGGUUAAUAACCUCAGCAAUUGACGUUACCCGCAGAAGAAGCACCGGCUAACUCCGUGCCAGCCGCCGCCGUAA